rnacentral:lncRNA from 1 species
CCCUCCUUGAACUCUUCGAAUCCUCGUCCCUGGAAUGAGGGUCAAAGUGGUGGAAGCUAGUUCGUAGGCUAAAGUCAGCUCUGCCCAGCUCUCCCCAGCCCAGCCCUGCCCAGCCCGGCUGUUACCUAUCGUGGUGAUCACCGUGAUCGCAAAGUAGAAGGAUCCGGCGAAUUUCCACUGAACCCCAGCGCGGUGGGGCUCCGACUGCAUGAUGACCAGCUCUAGCUGGAGGUAGUCCUCGCUAGUGAUGUUGUACUUUCCCUUAAUCCGGAUCUCCUCGGCUUUGAGUUUCUCCUCCUCACGCAUCUCGUGGUCGGACUCCAGGGCGUCGAAGACAGCGGCGCCCACCAGAAGACCCUUUUCUUAAAUGGGAUUCUCACCACUAUUUGAGCCUGUGCAGCAUUCAAAGAGACCGGGAAGCUCUGUAGGCCCCCUGAGAAUACCACGUUUAUUUCCAUCAAGUUAAAUAUAUCAGAAAAGGAUGGGAACUGUGCUACAUGAUGUGCUACAAGCAGAAGCAGAAAAAAAGACUGUCC